rnacentral:rRNA from 1 species
GACGAACGCUGGCGGCGUGCUUAACGCAUGCAAGUCGAACGGAAAGGCCCUGCUUUUGUGGGGUGCUCGAGUGGCGAACGGGUGAGUAACACGUGAGUAACCUGCCCUUGACUUUGGGAUAACUUCAGGAAACUGGGGCUAAUACCGGAUAGGAGCUCCUGCUGCAUGGUGGGGGUUGGAAAGUUUCGGCGGUUGGGGAUGGACUCGCGGCUUAUCAGCUUGUUGGUGGGGUAGUGGCUUACCAAGGCUAUGACGGGUAGCCGGCCUGAGAGGGUGACCGGCCACAUUGGGACUGAGAUACGGCCCAGACUCCUACGGGAGGCAGCAGUGGGGAAUAUUGCACAAUGGGCGGAAGCCUGAUGCAGCAACGCCGCGUGCGGGAUGACGGCCUUCGGGUUGUAAACCGCUUUCGCCUGUGACGAAGCGUGAGUGACGGUAAUGGGUAAAGAAGCACCGGCUAACUACGUG